rfam:Xanthomonas oryzae pv. oryzae KACC10331, complete genome.
AUGUACCACGCGUACACUCCGGUUCUGAGUGCGCCGUCCGCACCCACCUGACGACUGCUCGCUACGUUUUGUUAGCC